rnacentral:rRNA from 1 species
UACGAAGGGGGCUAGCGUUGUUCGGAAUUACUGGGCGUAAAGCGCGCGCAGGCGGUCUUCCAAGUCAGUGGUGAAAGCCCGGAGCUCAACUCCGGAACUGCCAUUGAAACUGUUAGACUUGAGGAUGAGAGAGGUGAGUGGAAUUCCCAGUGUAGAGGUGAAAUUCGUAGAUAUUGGGAAGAACACCGGUGGCGAAGGCGGCAUCCUGGACCGACACUGACGCUGAGGAGCGAAAGCCAGGGGAGCAAACGGG